AGCAGCCGCGGUAAUUCCAGCUCCAAUAGCGUAUAUUAAAGUUGUUGCAGUUAGAAAGCUCGUAGUUGAAUUUCGGGAUCAGUACGCUGGUCGUGCCUUUGGUAUGUACUGGUGUCACUGAUUCCUCCCUUCUGAAGAACCGUUAUGCCAUUUAUUUGGUGUGGCGGGGAAUCAGGACUGUUACUUUGAAAAAAUUAGAGUGUUUAAAGCAGGCUCGCGCCUGAAUACAUUAGCAUGGAAUAAUGAAAUAGGACGUUUGAUUCUAUUUUGUUGGUUUCUAGGAUUGACGUAAUGAUUAAUAGGGAUAGUUGGGGGCAUUAGUAUUCAAUUGUCAGAGGUGAAAUUCUUGGAUUUAUUGAAGACUAACUACUGACGAAAGCAUUUGCCAAGGAUGUUUUCAUUAAUCAAGAACGAAAGUUAGGGGAUCGAAGACGAUCAGAUACCGUCGUAGUCUUAACCAUAAACUAU
rnacentral:rRNA from 1 species